UACGUAGGUGGCAAGCGUUGUCCGGAUUUACUGGGCGUAAAGAGCGCGCAGGCGGUCAGAUAAGUCGAAUGUGAAAGCCCCCGGCUCAACUGGGGAGGGUCAUUCGAUACUGUUCGACUCGAAGGCAGGAGAGGGAAGUGGAAUUCCCGGUGUAGUGGUGAAAUGCGUAGAUAUCGGGAGGAACACCAGUGGCGAAGGCGACUUCCUGGCCUGUUCUUGACGCUGAGGCGCGACAGCGUGGGGAGCAAACAGG
rnacentral:rRNA from 1 species